GAUGAACGCUGGCGGCGUGCUUAACACAUGCAAGUCGAGCGGUAAGGCCCUUUCGGGGGUACACGAGCGGCGAACGGGUGAGUAACACGUGGGUGACCUGCCCUCAGCUCUGGGAUAAGCCUGGGAAACCGGGUCUAAUACCGGAUAUGACUCCAUGACGCAUGUUGUGGGGUGGAAAGCCUUGUGCGGCUGAGGAUGGGCCCGCGGCCUAUCAGCUUGUUGGUGGGGGAUGGCCUACCAAGGCGACGACGGGUAGCCGGCCUGAGAGGGCGACCGGCCACACUGGGACUGAGACACGGCCCAGACUCCUACGGGAGGCAGCAGUGGGGAAUCUUGCGCAAUGGGCGAAAGCCUGACGCAGCGACGCCGCGUGAGGGAUGACGGCCUGGUGUAAC
rnacentral:rRNA from 1 species